rnacentral:rRNA from 1 species
GUACGGGAGGCAGCAGUGAGGAAUAUUGGUCAAUGGACGGAAGUCUGAACCAGCCAUCCCGCGUGCAGGAAGACGGCGCUAUGCGUUGUAAACUGCUUUUCCAGGGGAAGAAACCAUCCGACGUGUCGGGUGUUGCCGGUACCUUGGGAAUAAGCAUCGGCUAACUCCGUGCCAGCAGCCGCGGUAAUACGGAGGAUGCUAGCGUUAUCCGGAUUUAUUGGGUUUAAAGGGUGCGUAGGCGGAUUGAUAAGUCAGUGGUGAAAACCUGCAGCUUAACUGUAGAACUGCCAUUGAUACUGUUAGUCUUGAGUGUGGUCAAGGUAGGCGGAAUGUGUAAUGUAGCGGUGAAAUGCUUAGAUAUUACACAGAACACCGAUUGCGAAGGCAGCUUGCUGGACCAUUACUGACGCUGAUGCACGAAAGCGUGGGGAGCGAACAGGAUUAGAUACCCGAGUAGUCC